UAAGGAAUAUUGGGCAAUGGACGCAAGUCUGACCCAGCCAUGCCGCGUGGAGGAUGAAGGCCCUCUGGGUUGUAAACUUCUUUUAUUUGGGAAGAAAUGUAGGUUUUCUAACUUAUUUGACGGUACCAGAUGAAUAAGCACCGGCUAACUCCGUGCCAGCAGCCGCGGUAAUACGGAGGGUGCAAGCGUUAUCCGGAUUCACUGGGUUUAAAGGGUGCGUAGGCGGGCAGUUAAGUCAGUGGUGAAAUCUCUAGGCUCAACCUAGAAACUGCCGUUGAUACUAUCUGUCUUGAAUAACGUUGAGGUGAGCGGAAUAUGUCAUGUAGCGGUGAAAUGCUUAGAUAUGACAUAGAACACCGAUUGCGAAGGCAGCUCACUAAACGCUCAUUGACGCUGAGGCACGAAAGCGUGGGGAUCAAACA
rnacentral:rRNA from 1 species